GGGUAAUCUACCCCUCGGAGGGGGAUAACCGGGGGAAACCCCGGCUAAUACCCCAUACGAUCCGGCAACGAAGGUUGCUGGAUGAAAGGGGCGUUUGCUCCGCCGAGGGAUGAGCCCGCGGCCCAUCAGGUAGUUGGUGGGGUAAUGGCCCACCAAGCCUACGACGGGUAGCCGGCCUGAGAGGGUGGUCGGCCACAAGGGCACUGAGACACGGGCCCUACUCCUACGGGAGGCAGCAGUGGGGAAUCUUGGACAAUGGGCGAAAGCCUGAUCCAGCGACGCCGCGUGGGGGAUGAAGCCCUUCGGGGUGUAAACCCCUGUUGCGAGGGAGGAAUAAGGCCUGGAGGAAAUGCCAGGCCGAUGACUGUACCUCGCGAGGAAGCCCCGGCUAACUACGUGCCAGCAGCCGCGGUAAUACGUAGGGGGCGAGCGUUACCCGGAUUCACUGGGCGUAAAGCGGGUGUAGGCGGCUCGGUAAGUCGGGUGUGAAAUCCCACAGCUCAACUGUGGAAUUGCGCCCGAAACUGCUGAGCUUGGGGCCGGUAGAGGGAGACGGAACUGCCGGUGUAGGGGUGAAAUCCGUAGAUAUCGGCAGGAACGCCGGUGGGGAAGCCGGUCUCCUGGGCCGCGCCCGACGCUGAGACCCGAAAGCUAGGGGAGCAAACCGGAUUAGAUACCCGGGUAGUCCUAGCCGUAAACGAUGCCCACUAGGUGUGGGGGAUUAAUUCCUCCGUGCUGUAGCUAACGCGUUAAGUGGGCCGCCUGGGGAGUACGCCCGCAAGGGUGAAACUCAA
rnacentral:rRNA from 1 species